rnacentral:lncRNA from 1 species
UUACUCUGAAAACAGUCAUGCUUCUAGUGGUUCAAUUUGCUAAUGCAAGGGUUGAUUUUAUGUGAAGCCAUGCUGAAUGUACUGCAGUGCCAUGCUGGGUAUCUUAAAGAACAAGGCAUUGUCCUCUGCAGACACCCAGGCUGCAGACUUCAAGGACUGGAAGAAGAGCUUUGCGUCUUCUCUCUUCUCUAUACAGACACAAUCUGUAGCAGCAAAUGUGUUACAGAUGGACAGAAGCUGGGCUAUUAGGGGCCUACAGUGCAUCAGGCAUGGAUCCAUGUUAGAAAAUUGUCCCAAGGAUAACCAGGACCUGCUGGAGCACAGGAGUCAGUACAGGAGCCAAGAUGUAGGGGAGAAAAAGCCAAUGCCAAGAUACAAGUGGAGUCAAGUCACUGGUUCCUUGAGCAUAUCAGGACCUCCAAUUCAAGAAAAUAAAUGGGGAAGCAUUGAUGCAUUGAUUAACCUAUGAUUCUGCUCAGGCUGUGGUAUGAUCUGAAGAUUUAUGUUUCCCCAAAGCCAUUUAUGGAGAUCUUAACCCCUAAGGUGACGGUAUGAAGAGGUGGGGCCUUUGGAAUGCAGUUAAGUCAUAAGGGUUCCACCUUCCUGAAUGAGAUCAGUGCCCUUGCAAAAGAGGCUUGAAGAAAACUGCUCUUCCUGCCAUGUGAGGACACACAGAAGGCACCAUCUAUGAGGAAUAGGCUGUCACUAGACACCAAAUCUACUGAUGCCUUGUUCUUGAAUGUUCUGUCCUCCAGAACUGUGAGCAAUACGUUUUCGUAGUGUAUAAAUUGCCUGGUCUGAGGUAUUUUGUUGUACCAGCAAGAAUGGAGUAAGGCAGGUUGUGAUAACAAAAUACCAUAGACUGAGUGGCUUAAACAACAGGUGUUUAUUUCUUAUGGUUCUGGAGGCUAAGAAGUUCAAGAUCAAAGUGCUGGCCAAUUUGAUUUCUGGUGAGGGUCCUUUUCCUGGCUUGCAGGUGGUAGUCUUUUUGUUUCUUUUUGUUGUGUCUGUCUGUCAGGCCUCUGAGCCCAAGCUAAGCCAUCAUAUCCCCUGUGACCUGCACAUACACAUCCAGAGGGCCGGUUCCUGCCUUAACUGAUGACAUUAUCUUGUGAAAUUGCUUCUCCUGGCUCAUCCUGGCUCAAAAGCUCCCCUUCUGAGCAUCUUGUGACCCCCUAGUCCUGCCCACAGAGAACAAACCCCCUUUUUCCUUUACCUACCCAAAUCCUAUAAAAUGGCCCCACCCCCAUCUCCCUUCACUGACUCUGUUUUCGGACUCAGCCCACCUGCACCCAGGUGAAAUAAACAGCUUUAUUGCUCACACAAAGCCUGUUUGGUGGUCUCUUUACAUGGACGCAAGUGAAAUUUGGUGCCGUGACUCGGAUCGGGGGACCCCCCUUGGGAGAUCAAUCCACUGUCCUCCUGCUCUUUGCUCCGUGAGAAAGAUUCACCUACGACCUCAGGUCCUCAGAACGACCAGCCCAAGAAACAUCUCACCAAUUUCAAAUCUGGU